ACGGGUGCGUAACGCGUGGGAAUCUGCCCUUGGGUUCGGAAUAACAGUUAGAAAUGACUGCUAAUACCGGAUGAUGUCUUCGGACCAAAGAUUUAUCGCCCAAGGAUGAGCCCGCGUAAGAUUAGCUAGUUGGUGGGGUAAUGGCCCACCAAGGCGACGAUCUUUAGCUGGUCUGAGAGGAUGAUCAGCCACACUGGGACUGAGACACGGCCCAGACCCCUACGGGAGGCAGCAGUGGGGAAUAUUGGACAAUGGGCGCAAGCCUGAUCCAGCAAUGCCGCGUGAGUGAUGAAGGCCUUAGGGUUGUAAAGCUCUUUUACCAGGGAUGAUAAUGACAGUACCUGGAGAAUAAGCUCCGGCUAACUCCGUGCCAGCAGCCGCGGUAAUACGGAGGGAGCUAGCGUUGUUCGGAAUUACUGGGCGUAAAGCGUACGUAGGCGGUUAUUCAAGUCAGAGGUGAAAGCCCGGGGCUCAACCCCGGAACGGCCUUUGAAACUAGGUAGCUAGAGUCUUGGAGAGGUUAGUGGAAUUCCGAGUGUAGAGGUGAAAUUCGUAGA
rnacentral:rRNA from 1 species